AUUGAACGCUGGCGGAAUGCUUUACACAUGCAAGUCGAGCGGCAGCACGGGGGCAACCCUGGUGGCGAGCGGCGAACGGGUGAGUAAUACAUCGGAACAUGCCCAGUCGUGGGGGAUAACACUUCGAAAGAAGUGCUAAUACCGCAUACGUCCUGAGGGAGAAAGCGGGGGAUCUUCGGACCUCGCGCGAUUGGAGUGGCCGAUGUCAGAUUAGCUAGUUGGUGGGGUAAAGGCCUACCAAGGCAACGAUCUGUAGCUGGUCUGAGAGGAUGAUCAGCCACACUGGGACUGGGACGCGGCCCAGACUCCUACGGGAGGCAGCAGCGGGGAAUUUUGGACAAUGGGGGCAACCCUGAUCCAGCCAUUCCGCGUGAGUGAAGAAGGCCUUCGGGUUGUAAAGCUCUUUCGGCAGGAACGAAACGGCGAGCUCUAACAUAGCUUGCUAAUGACGGUACUUGAAGAAGAAGCACCGGCUAACUACGUGCCAGCCGCCGCCGUAAAA
rnacentral:rRNA from 1 species